rnacentral:rRNA from 15 species
ACGGGUGAGUAACGCGUGGGAACGUACCCUUUACUACGGAAUAACGCAGGGAAACUUGUGCUAAUACCGUAUGUGCCCUUUUGGGGAAAGAUUUAUCGGUAAGGGAUCGGCCCGCGUUGGAUUAGCUAGUUGGUGGGGUAAAGGCCUACCAAGGCGACGAUCCAUAGCUGGUCUGAGAGGAUGAUCAGCCACAUUGGGACUGAGACACGGCCCAAACUCCUACGGGAGGCAGCAGUGGGGAAUAUUGGACAAUGGGCGCAAGCCUGAUCCAGCCAUGCCGCGUGAGUGAUGAAGGCCCUAGGGUUGUAAAGCUCUUUCACCGGAGAAGAUAAUGACGGUAUCCGGAGAAGAAGCCCCGGCUAACUUCGUGCCAGCAGCCGCGGUAAUACGAAGGGGGCUAGCGUUGUUCGGAAUUACUGGGCGUAAAGCGCACGUAGGCGGACAUUUAAGUCAGGGGUGAAAUCCCAGAGCUCAACUCUGGAACUGCCUUUGAUACUGGGUGUCUUGAGUAUGGAAGAGGUGAGUGGAAUUCCGAGUGUAGAGGUGAAAUUCGUAGA